rnacentral:tRNA from 1 species
GGAGUUGAAGUUCAAGGGGAUGAAUAAUGAUUUUGCAAGUCAAAGGUCACAGGUUCGAUUCCUGUCAACCCCA